AACAUCCUUGCACAGCUGAAAGAAAAGGAUCAUGUUGUCAUACUUGGUGAUGGCAGGAUGGACUCACCAGGGCAUUGUGCGCAAUACUGCACCUAUACCACUAUAGAGCAAGAGUCCAGAGAUACUGUCCACAUUGUAACCAUAGACAAGAGACAGACGAAUCGGAAUUCAGUGAUUAUGGAGAAGGAAGGGUUCAUCAAGACCAUGGAUGCUCUGCCGCAGAAAAUUCCAGUGAAAUAAGUGGUCACAGAUGCCCACAGACAAAUCACAGCAUUACUAGAUCCAACACGGGGAAAAUACAGACAGUGGGGUCUUCAUCACUCCCUGGACAUUUGGCAUGCAGCCAAGAACCUCGCAAAGAAACUGAAGGCUGCUGGUUCAAUCAAAAAGCAAUCAGCAAUACUGCAGUGGCUGAGACACAUUGUCAACCAUUUCUGGUAUUGCUGCAAACAAGCCACAAUGGAAGAGAAAUUCAAAAUAAUGUGGCAUGGUGUUCUACACCAUGUAAGGGGCAAGCACCAGUGGUCUUUUGCCAGCUGCGAACAUGGUCCACUUGAGGAUGCCAGCAGAGACAAGCCAUGGAUGGUGCAAGGUUCUCCAGCACACCAGGCUUUGACAGCAGUUGUCAUGGAUCAAGAAUGUGAAGACGUUUCUCAACUUUCGAACAACAUUGGACCUCGAAAGUUUCCAGAACCACAUACUCACGUAUGCUGGAAAACGAUUUGCAUACAGCCCACCGGUGUAUGAGGCACGCACUCUCCUUGCAGCUAUUGACUACAACUACCACAACAACAGGCCUGCUGCACUGAAUUCUGAGGGCAACAAAUUGAACAAAAGGCACUACAAUAAAAAAACAAAAACUUGGAGUGUUUACACUGUGAAGACUCCAAAGACAUACAGCUACAUACCAGAACUACAAAGGAGUAUCCUCACACAACGCCUGACAUCUGGGAAGGGACUCCCCAAAACAAGACCCUUGAGGCCAGAUGACCCAAGGACACUUGGUCUACUAGCUGAAGUUCCACCACCAUCAACAGCAGAAAUCGUGCAUGCACGGAUCCAACGAGGAGAGAACGUGCCUUUGUAAAAUCUCAGGCCAGACACUGCCAUCAACGUGAACACAGCAGGAUGGAGAGCCUCUGCC